rnacentral:rRNA from 1 species
AGGGAAUCUUCGGCAAUGGACGGAAGUCUGACCGAGCAACGCCGCGUGAGUGAAGAAGGUUUUCGGAUCGUAAAGCUCUGUUGUAAGAGAAGAACGAGUGUGAGAGUGGAAAGUUCACACUGUGACGGUAUCUUACCAGAAAGGGACGGCUAACUACGUGCCAGCAGCCGCGGUAAUACGUAGGUCCCGAGCGUUGUCCGGAUUUAUUGGGCGUAAAGCGAGCGCAGGCGGUUAGAUAAGUCUGAAGUUAAAGGCUGUGGCUUAACCAUAGUACGCUUUGGAAACUGUUUAACUUGAGUGCAAGAGGGGAGAGUGGAAUUCCGUCCAUUGCCGAAGAUUCCCU